CGCGUGCAGCUCGCGGCGGGACGGGCGGCGUGUGGGGCUCGGCGGCGACGGAACGGCAACGGCCGUGCAGACCGGCAGCCCAGUUAGAAGUUCUGCAUGUGGGAGAGAGGUGCCCCAGUCUGAAGAUGCUCAACGAUGCUUCUGUACACGAGGCACUACUGAAAGAUGAAGUGGCUCUUUUAACAGUAAGGCAUAUAUAAUGGACCCAGAAUAACUGUGCAUGCUUCCAAAAUGUUACCACAGCUGAGGUUCAUCCUUGAACUCUGGUGGUCUGGAACAACUGCCUUACCAGUUCUCUCUGACAGAUGUAGUCUGACUCAAUCACAAGCAAACUGUGCAACAGACAGAACAGUAUAUUUAACCCCAGAGUGUUCAUCAGAUGAAACAGGCCAUGGAAACAAUGACAUUUAAGUGCUACUUGUAAUCUUCAUCAUUGGCCACCUCAAGCUAUUUGCAUCUCCCUUCUGGCAGCUGACUGAGUGUAACUUUCCUGGGAAGAGCUGUGUACUAUUCAAGCCACAUCUAAAACUCAAGAGCUUCCAUUCAAGCUGGCCAGAGCUUCCUGCAUUCCCAUUUCCACUCCCUAGCAUGAGAUAAAGGACCUGCAGCAGUUCCCAAACUUAGCACUGGUACAAGUUCUGCCUGUCAGCCCACUGUACUGCUGCCUACCCAGGAAGACUUAUCAGAAGGGGAACGUUCAUCUCCUGCUAAACUGAUAUUUAGCUAUUGUAGAAGAAAAGACCGAAGUAAAAAAACUUAGAUUAAGCACAGUAUGUGCAAUGCAAUAAUAUGACAGAAAGUAUAGCAAUAAUAGCAGAGUGCCAAAGUCUUCAGCUACAGCAAACAACAACAAGCCCAAACACAGCAGCUAUGGAUACCGAAACAGAAGAACAAAUCUGCUUACCUUUGAAAGGCCUCAGGCAGCUUCCAUCACCGAGGGAAAGAACUCUGAGCUGGUUUUACAACAGCAGAACAUUGUCUGGCUGAAGCAUUAUGACAGAAAGGGAUAGUAAUACAGCUGUUAAAAGUUUGCUCUCUUCUGUACUCAAGGAAUCCAUCAAAGAACUCUUCUAGAAGAAGAGCCCAUAUGCGGAGUAAGACAGCAUGAUGUAUGAAUCCCAUCGCUGAAAUCAACUCUUGGAUUCAACAGUGCCAUUUGAACGGACAAAACCAUUAUUUUCUUUAGCCAUUCAAGCAAGGGAAACAUACUAACUCAAUUGCCAGCAUAGCUACCAGAAGGAAAUUGUGUAUGCUUUUUAGUAUUCAAGACCUUGCUCUAUUGCCUUACUCAUAUGAAAUUCAGCAUCUCUUUUGAAAACAGCAAAACAAUGACUUUGUCUCCAUUUUAAUUUGGAAGGAGUCCAAAUUAAGCUAUUAUGAGAGAUAAAUGAUAUAAUGAGAGUUGCAUGCAAUUUACUGAAAAAAAAAAUGAACAAGCAAAAUGACCUCUCAAAUGUUUGCAUUUUUCUUUUUUGAACUUACUGAAAUUUUUAUGUUCUAGGUAGUGAAGUCAAGUUUCAUAUUCAGCUUUCCUGUUAAUGUUAACAUGUACAUGACAGGUUCCAACUAAGCAGAAAAAUAGGACAUUAGGAUGCCAACCUAGCGUUCCGUUAUUAUCAAGAAUAAAUGAACUCAACUUAAACAGAGUUUCUAUAUUAACUAUUUCCAGAAUACACUCCUAUGCAGAACACUGUCUCGUAGGAAUUUGACUGGCAAAUAUCAGAUAUUCUGGCACUGAAAAGAAAAUCUGAGAACCUUUGUUACUGAAGCUGUAGUGGUGAACAAAAAUAGACUGCAAGCACUGGUGGAAACAUGGGCUACAGGGCCCUGUGAUCACAAACCUUCUGAGCAGGAAAGUCUGCCCGCUUAUAGAAAAGGUCAUCUUCAGUUUUGCAGCUCCAGGCUUUUAAUCUUAAGUAAGCCAAUCAGAUCUGAAUUAAGUGAUGAACGUAUUAUGUUAAUGAGCAUAAUUAUGCUAAUGAACAUUCCUUCAAGGAAUCUUCAUUCUUGAUUCAUUAGUUAGAUGUUACCAUCUGAAACCAAUGGAAAAUGUUUUGAAAAACUCAAUUAACCCCUCUGGGGUAAUCUUAAGACCUUAACAGACUGUCUUCCAGUGCUACCUCUGUUAUUUAUUCCCAGAUUUGUCUGUAGUCAUCAUUUCACUCAGAGUCCUCUGCCUUUUUAAACUUAUUUUUCUUCUGACAGUUACUUCAACCCUGCCGGAAAAACAAAACAAAACAAAAAUCUAUAAUCAUGUUUUAUUACUGCACUGCAGGCUCUGCAAUCCAGAUCCCAACAGUAUCACCUUCUGAACAAGCAUGGGAAAAUGCUAAAACAGCAGAAAAGUUGUCAGAGCCUGCCUGCACUAUUGACUAACCAGAGACUAGCUUGGGACAGGCACUAUCCAGCCAGCAAAUAGGCAGCUUUCUGCAGUACACUGUGUACUUCUUAGGGAUGGCACUUACUGUUUGGUGCCAGUGUGCUCCCGUGUUACAUUCCUGGUCCCACACAAUUACAUGUGUAUCUAAGGUUGCACUUACACUCCCACCUGUUAAGGUAACACACAGGAAGUAUCAUGGUAAGCUAUUAACAGCACAUGUUUUUACAGGACAGUAGCCUAUUUGUUCAGAUGAAUUCAAGUCACUUAAAAGUUAUUCCAUCCAUGGCUGGUAUUAAUAGCAUCCACACGUGUAACAUUUAUAUCAGUGGACAUAAAUCAGCAUCAGUCUAUUAAAUUCAAAACCACAUCAUUUCGGCUCAGCAGCUGACACUACAGGCUUACAAAAGAAACACUUAACAUAUACUUUUCCAUGAUGAAACGUGAGAAUAUGUCUAUUGAUGGUUACGUGUUCUCUACAAGAAGCCUCUCUGAGCCUUAAGGUUUACUUUCCAUAAUCAGCAGCACCUCCCCAGUGGGUUUUUAAUAUGUUUUAUCAGCUUAGAGUUCCUGAACAUCACACUUGCAUGUGGAAAGGCCAGAGAAUUGCCAGCUCUCGAUCAGCUGCAGUGAAAGCACAGCUUUGUAGUCCCAAAGCCCUGACUAUACCUGGGAGUGCAUACAUGGUAUCUGAUUGAAGUUACAGGUGUUAUAAUUCUCCUCUUGCCAGUGGGUCAUUAUUUCACUCCAUCAAAAGAGAAAAAUAAAACAUGUGAAGAACUCUGCAGUGACCUGCUUAGUCCCACAGAGGUCACAGUAGAGACUGAUUUAUGAUGACUGACAACUGCCUAUGAUUAUGAAAAUUGCUAGCCAGGACAGCAUAUAUUACUGAUGCCUGCUGAAUAGGGCACAGAGAAAUCAUUUUCCCUUUUAGUAUUCCUAAAGGUUUACUGUUCUUAGCUUUAUUCAAAGAAACUUAAGACCCGAGGAAAACAAUGCUGUGUAUAUAAACAGGGCAAACAUUAUGCUGUUAUUUAAAAAUGUCAGCCUGAUACUUGAUGUAAGGUUCUGACUUAAUAUGUAAGGCAAAACAAAUGAGUUUGAAAAUCUCUGUUUAGUGGUUUAGAAAAUGGGAUCUGAGAUUGCUUUAAAGAAGGUCAUAAAGACCUCUCAACCUCUCCUUUUAUUUAUGUUUUCUCAAAUAUAUUGACUGGCUUGAUGGUGCACCACAGACAAAUAUCUACAUGCUUCACAUAAUGAAACAGUGUCAUUACCUUAUCUGGACAAACUCCCAGUGUAAUUGCAACCAAAGUAAAACAGCUCUGAGACUGCAAAGAAGUGUCAAAACAGGAAAUACAAUAGCAUAGACCUGAGAUGUUUUCCAUUUGCAGACUUUCAUAUAGGUGUCUUUUUUCAUACUUUUAGCCCUAUAUUGGAAAGCAUAAUUUGAUGAUAGACGUGAAACUGUGUAUUAGUUUUUAUUUUGACAAAUUCAUUAGACAUCACAUAGCUUGAAAAAUGAACCAGGAGGCACUAAGUCAGCCUGAGAAGAUUGUACUUCAUAAACUGAAUUGCUCACAUGGGCAACAUUUUGGUGGAAGUUAUAGAUUUUCUAGCAUAUCCCUGAUAGAUAGCACUAAUAUAACUUCAAUAAAAACUCUGGAUAUGUCAAUAUAAAAUUUUUUCAAGCAUCGAAAGAUGUAAGAUACUUCAGCUAAUAAAUUGGAAGAUUCCCUGUUCCUCAAGGUACACUAACUUACACAUCAGAUUAUAAAGAGUAUUGAAGCCACACAGAGUACAGCAGGCAGCUGUAGGUUUGCUGCUUUUAGAAGUUGCACUAAAUUGAAUUAUCAAUAUAUGAAAGUAAUAAUUGGAAAUUAAGAUCUAGAUGACCCUUUUUGUAAAAAUGUUAGCAUUCUUCAAUUUUUAACUGUUAGAUGAUAGACAAUUUUUCAUAGCUGACAUGACUGAUAGACUGUAUUUGAUGCAAAUAAUUGAUGUUCCUUCUCUCUCUUCCUAACACAUGACCUUUCACUUACUUCCUUAUAUUGUUACCACUUCCAGAUUGAUAUGGUAUUGGAAAUGCAAAUGGUUAUCCUUCUUCUGAAAAAAACCUUACAGAACCUGAUGUAAGACUUCAUUGGUUACAACUGUAUGGGACAGGAUUGUGUGUAUGUAUAUAUAUAUUUACAUUUGUGGAUGUUUGCGCAUGCACACAAACAUAAAUACACAGUGUUAGAAUUUCUUUAAGUUAUACAAUUAUUUCUGUAUCUUACAGUGACCUACCACGCACAAAUUGUAACUGAAAGUAGCUGCAUGAUUAUUUGUACGCAUUCAACAACCAGUGACUGUAAAUAAAAAGAAGAUAUGGAAAUGCACUAACAUUUGAAUAAUGACAGCUUUUAAAAUAGAAAGAAGAUGACUUGGAAGAAAGUUACAGUUUCAAGUAGAAUGCUGGCAGGAAUUUGAGACACUGUUUGGACUUGCCUUAGAAAAAUCUUCAACUUUUAGUACAAAAAUGUAUUGUGGACAAGACGAAAUCUAGAGUAUCUACCAUACUUUGCACACUAUUUGAUACUUUUGCAAGGCUUGAGAGAGACUUUCUGGCCAACAGUAACAAACAGAUCAUACAGAGUUUGCAGUUACAUAAUAUUUUCCAAAUACUACUGCACUAGAAACUAAAAAGCCAUGUUCAAAUGUGUCAGAGGAAAUCAUUGUAAGGCUCUAUUAACACUACAGAGGCAAGCAUUCAAGUCAGGCAUCUGAACACCGUAUGAGCAGUAUGAUGAACGUGCAUAAUUGUAUGACCUGGGGUUAAGAAAAAGUACUCUUCUAAGGGCCCCAAACUCCACAAUAUACCUCAGUGAGAAAACUCUUCUCUUUGCUUGCUCCCAUAUUCUUGACUUGUAGAUUCUUAUAUUUUAAUUACAAGUAUGUAGAUAACUUAGAGUUUGUUGUUUGUUUGUUUGUUUUUUUCUGUCACAGGCAAAUUUUCUGUACUUCUACGUGGUAUUUGCCUCUAUCUCAACAAAGUAACUAAGAAGUUUCUGUGAAUUAAGAGCAGAGACAAAUAUAUUACAUCUCUUUAACUGAUGAAAGCAGCAGAUUUUCACUGAUCUGCAGGCAGCUGUUCUGUGUUCAGUGGAGUCGGAUGCCCAUCAUUUUCAUUUUUAUAUGAAAAAUGUUUCUUGGAAAACUCAUUAUCCCUAUUCAGGAGCCUUAAUAUAAAAUGAAAUUGGUCAAAAGGAUCUGAACACCUAAUACACAGUUCUGUCAUUCCUGUAUGGAACUUCUGGCAUAAAAGAAAACUGAGAAGGAUCACUAUUAGCAGUGGCCAGCUUUAGCUAAGCACUUCAAAAUGCACAGAACUAGGCAGAGAAUAGAUGAAGCUUUAUGCUGGUCUGACUGCUAGGGAAAUGAAUUUAUGUCUUCAGUAGCAUUUCCUUAGAAGAAUGCAUUGUGACUCCCUGUACACUCUGUAACACAAAGGGAUGAAGAUUUCUUUUGUUUUUGAGUCUCUGGUUUGGUUGUUGGUCAAGUACAACAGAAGGGGAAGAGGGAGUUACAUCUACAUGGUUGAAUAAAUAAAAAGUACUGAUAAAUACCGGAGUAAGAUUUUCCCUUCUGUAAGAAAAUGCAGUUGUUUCCAUAAUAUAUUCAUUAAAUGUAGAAAUGUAAAGGGUGUAUAUUCUUUUAUGUAUUCCCAUUUGACAAAUAAAUAACUGAUUAAUAUCUGUACUGCAUAUUCUUCCAGAAUAAUUAUUUCCUUUUGGAUGAACUCAGAAAACAAGUCAGUGGAUGAUACUAUACCUGUUUCCAGACAAAUACUUGUGAGCAUUCCCAACCUGUUAAAAGGAAGCAAUUAUGGUAGAGGACCAGACUACAUGGAUGACCUGAACCUUGCUCACAACAGAUGAGAAAAAAUGACAUUUUUCUCCUUUCUGAAAGACUUUUAUAGCUUGUGAAAAGGAAACUUCAAGGAAGGUGGGGAGAUUGAAGGCUGGACUGGUACGUAUGGGAGGUACAGACUGGUAGGAAUGUGAGACCUUAAAAGUGCCAACAAUAGGACUCACUGUGUUAACACAAUUGAAAAGCCAAAAAUGUCAAAUUGAGAUGUGUUAGUACUAAUAAAUAUAUACAUGUAUGUAUUUACGUAUAUGCAUAAAUAUAUAUAUAUAAACCAUAUCACUCAUGUUGACAGAAAAAGUAGGCACUUGUAUGUGAGUGCGCAUGCACUGGCAAAACUGCAUCUGACAAAACAGGCACACGUUUUCUGGGGUACCUUUUAGUAGGCGAAAACUUCAUCUGUUACAUCAUGAAAGAAGUUGCCACCAAUUUAAAAUUUAAUCUCAAACUGAUGCAAAAAUAGUCCAGUUAAGACUUUAAGGGUGUUACUCAGAAAUUGCAUUUAUUGGGCUGACUUGCUAAAGCAAAGUGAAAAUAUUUCCUAGAUUUAAAAUCUAUACAAAUUAUUUUUGACAUUACAACAAUUAAAGAUUUGUGCAGAUGUAAAAAAGGAGUAAUUGCUGAACAUUUCAUGCAAUCCAUUUUCCAGCAAUUCCUAUGAGGAAUGAUAUGUUCCUUGCUGAUUAUGGGCUGUGAGUAUGACCAGCCGGUUUCUUCAUUCUAAUUUCUCAUUGCUGUGUGUUUCUCUCACAAACCUUCACAUCUGCCUUAGUCUUGCUGCCCACUAGCAUAUGGUGCACUUGUGUUCUAGUUCAGAACAAGAAUAAAGAGUUUUUUUUCCUUUGAUACAUUUUGUUCACCAGAACUGGAAGCUCUUCCUUUUCUAUUGUACUACACCUGUAAUGAUCUCAGAACAUAUCAAUUGUCUUAAAGUUUUUCCUUCUUGAUUUAGUUAUGUUGUGAUAUCUCUUAUCUCCUAUCCUAAUCACACUAAAAUUAUCUAAGAACAGUAUAUAAAAAAGGACAAUUUCAGUUUUCUUCUAUACUGAAAGUAUUUGUAGGUCUGCAUGAACAAGCCUUGUCAGUAUCCUCCAUGGACUGAUUUGCCAUACUAACGUAAGAAAGAGUCCAAGUAUCUUUACUUACACAGUUAGGUAAAUGGAAUUUGAUUUGAUUUGCAAAUUCAAUGCAAAAUGGAUAUAUCUGAAACUUAAUUCUACUUCUACCUACUUAGACCUAUAGGAAAAUAAGACUGAAUGUAUAAAUAGGGUUUUACCAGUAUGUUUUAAUGUCUGCUCAGUCACUCAUAAUAAUGAUCAACAUGUUGAUUCUGACUAAAUGAAGCUGAAAAUCAGAUUUUCCCAAUAUAUCACAUCAGCAUACACAUCUGCUGAUCAGUGUUAAUUAGUCCUGUAUUUUCCAAUUUGUAAUCUGUGGAUGUUUUAUGGGGAUGUAAAUAGUAACAUAUUAGCAUUUAUAAUCUUUCUUUGGAAAGCUUAUGCUGAGCAAGUGACCAAUAAAUUGCAGUUAACGUAAACAUUAAUCAAAUUGAAUGCCAGUAUGGAAAGAGUCUCAAGUUUAGAGGGAAAAAUCAACUUUCUGUCAUGUAUUUUAUUGCUGAAGUGUAAUUAAGUAAGAUCAUGACGAUCUCUGAAUAUUCAAUGACAAAUAGAUAUAUUUGUUUCAAGAUCUGUGUGCCAUCCUGAAGCGCUAAUCACUUGACCAUUAGAGUGAAUGGAUGCCACUCAAUCUACAAUGGUGAAUUAAAUUUCCAGUGGUUGGAUGAAAGAAUAAAAAGAGAGAGAGAAAAAAUGCAUAAAUGAGUAUGAAAUGUUGUAAUAUGAGAGGUUAGUAUAUAAAGCCACAAAGUGAUGAGUACUUCACAGAAAUGUAAUGACCUACAUUUGGCCUAAACAAGCUAUUGUAUGACCAUAAAUGUACCAUUAUUUUGAACAAAUGAAGAUUGCAGAUAUAGUAGGUAAACAACAAUAAAUAUAAAACACACAAUCUGUUGUCAUGAGCAAAGAAAGUAUUUAAAUAUCAGUGCUGCUCUGCACUGCAAUAACUUUAUAUAUAUAUUUUUUUUCCCUCCAGCAUUUAUCUUGCUCUUAUAUGAUAUGCUUUUCCUCAAAAACAAACAAACAAAAAAAAAAGCCACAAACUACUGAAAGAAGUGAAGCUAAAACAGAGUAUUUUUAUGGAUUUCCUAGAGUGCACAUAUACAACCUGGAAUGAACGUACAGAAGGAAUGUUUAUCUUUAAGUUUGGCCAGGAAAAUGAAGAAUUGGAGAAUGGCUCACAGAGAGCUCAGUUUGAACAAAGGAAUUUCUCAAAUAAGGUGCAAAUAGAAUAGAUUAUCUGAAAUAAGAAAAAGCAUUAAGUCAAAGUAUGCUAAAGAAAUUAGUGGACUUAAAAUUUGGUCAUCUAUGAACUUACAUAUAUUUAUUCUUUAACUAUAUCUAAUAAUGGUAUGAUGAUGAAGCGUAUGCAAAAAUCUACUCAGUUUGAAACACCCUCCUAAAGCUAACAAAUAUAAAUACUUUCAAUAGAAUGCUUCUAAUAAAUUAUUAGAGGAACACAGGGCAAAAAAUAGAAGCAAUCAUCCUGAGAAAACCUAGGUGACCUGAUGCUGUGCUAAAGGAGACAGCAAACUAAUUCUUGGAAUGAGAAGAGGCAGGAAGGGUUUCUAGACCAGGCAUGGUAGGAGCACUAAGUGUUGAGGGGAUGAACCCUGGUUCUCCACCACCAAGUGCUGACUACCAGAAAGGUAUUGCACAUUGACAGAACCCACAAAGUCAGUGUGCCAUAGCAUCCUGUCUUUGGAGAACAAAACUAAGAACAUGUAAAGGGCAGAAAUAACAGCUGAAUUUAAGCAGACUUGAAGCUGAAAGCAAUGUAACAGAAUUGAGGUCAUACAGAAAGGUGGAUUACAUAUUAGAGCCUGGAAGUCUCAUCCUACCAGGCCAAGCAGCAUUCAACAAAGAAGAAUGAGGAAUAGGAAUUUUGGGGUUUGUUUUUCAUCUUUUUCUUGUUUUCUUUCUAAAUAAAAUUGACAUAUCUAGAAAACUGAAAGCCAGGCAGACUGGGCAGCGAGAAAUAUUUUCCUGUGUUACAUUUAUUUUACUAAAAAGCACUGUUGCUCAGGCAGAUCCUGUACUACAAAAAUAUGCAAAGUUUUUGCAAAAACAAAGGUAUGUGGCAGCUCUUCUCACUAUAAUGAGUGAGGGAGGGACAUUCUGAGGAGAUGAAUGAAGUAUGGGUGCCUUCUGCAAAAAAAGAGCUGUUUCAUUCCUGAACUACUAUCUACUUUCUAAGUAGGUUGGUCUCCUGAUCAGAAUAAUCUUUUUAUUUUUAUUAUUUCUAUUUCCUUUUAAUCAUUUUUGUGAAGCCUAUUUUUACUAAUAUUUGUUCAGUUGCAGCAAUAACCACCAAAAGGUGGUUAUUAUCUUUUGAAUUAGUGUGAUGUUCUAUAAAGAAAGAGGAAACAUUUCUGUCUGCAGUAAAAACAGUAGAAACACAGGAGGUUUUAAACUGCUUUUAGUACGAUAGCAAAGAUUUCAUGGGAAGGUAACUAUAAGCACCAUCAAGAACAGCUCUGACCUUAACACAUACCUCAAAGGACAAUUAGGUUUAGCUCUGGAGGGUUUUUAUCUUUAAACAUCUUGCUGAGUAAAAACUCUUCCUACAGUCAUCAGACUGUACUGACUUUGUUACAUGCCAAACACAGUAUUUGUGGCUGCAAUAGAGCACCAGAUAUUUAAUGUUCUUGCUGUUAUGGCAUAUGCAUAAUGCACAGCUUAUGCAACUUUCAUGGGUUUUUCUUUGCUGCACCCUUUAAUCUCUCUCAGAAGACCUUUGUGGUGUUAUUCUUUAUUUAUUUUACAUAGUGCUUGCACCCAUCAAGGAUAAACACAAAUAAAACUUCUGGAAGUUACCAGGCCAGUUAUCUAUUUGGAGACUUGGUUAACUUUGAGCACUAUAUACAAAACAUAUGCUACCAAUCAUGCAAGUCACAGACCUCUGAUGAGGUGAAACCACAAUUUUUCAUACGUAAGUAUGAUGAAAGAGGUAAGUUUCAACCAGCUAAAGUGCCCGUGAAUAAUAACUUUGUAACAAGAAAGAUUAGGCCUGACAUGCAAACAUCUUUUUGUAAAAAGAAACUUUUUGAUCAAGCUGUGAAUUUAAAUGCAAUAACUGAAAAAAAAAAAAAAAGAAAGAAAGAAAAAAAAAAAGAUAAUAGAGGAAAAAUUUGUACAAGUUGCAAAGACCAUUCUCUCAAAAGGAGAAAAAGAUGAAAUGAAAUUGCCCUGUAUUCCCUGUUAACAAUUUUCUCUCCAACAUAUCUUAAGUUAACUAGCCUGAGGUAUAUCCUGUGGACACAGCAAUGACUGCAUGCACACCGUGUGCGCUCAAGAAUAGCAAGUAAGUAUGAAGUCGUGGAGUUAGUAAGGACUAGUAAGGACUUCACCACUAGGCCUGAAAAAAUGAAGAGAUCAUUGUGAUGUCCUUAAGGACCUCUCCUUAAGGACCUGACAGCCUGAGGCAGAUAGGAAGGACAUCACACUGAUGAGGUAGAAGUGUUUGUGAAAGCCCUAACAAUGUUUUUAUUUUUUUAUUUUUUAUUUUUAUUUUUUGCUUUUUACAGGAGAAACUAUAAGCUCAUUAAGAAAUGAUAAUCAUUCUGUUCCUCUCACAUAACAUGGAGAACUGUACAAGAUGGAAGAAUAUUAAGAGCUAUCACAGAGUACUAUACUCUAAUGAGGAAAGCUCAUGCUUCAAUUUCCUGAGUUUGACCUCUGAAAAGGCACUGAGCCUCUAGGAAUCAAGGUGUUUUUUUUUCUUUCCUUCUGUGUAUUGAGUUCUUCAUUUGUUCAAUGGGGCUAAUAUAACCUCUGUACCUUCUGAGAAUAGAAACGUUAAAGACUGACUCAGUUUUAUGGUAAUGGAAACCAUUUUGUAAGCAAGACCAAAAGAAUCUCCUCUGAAGACCAGUUACAGCCAGAAUGAGAUAGGUCUCUUUCAAAUAUAGCAAAAACUUUCCAAAACAGAGCAUAUAAUAAAUGCACUAGUUUCCUUUUUCUCUCAUUUUAAUCUGCAACAAUGAAAAAUAUUCACUGUGUUUCUUUUCACUACCAUUUCCUUUUUUUCCUUUGUUUUUCUUUAUUCCUUCCCACUCUCAUUCCAUUCCCUACUUUUAUAAUUCCUUUGCUAAUAAACAAAUAGUCCACUCAUCUAAUUCCUUGACUUCAGUGUGCUACAAACCAGCAUAAGGGCUGCAGAAUUUGAUGAAUGCAAGACAGAAUGGAAGCAGAAGAGAAAGUACGAUACGAGGAGGCGAACAGCUCUGGAGUACUGAGCUCAGCAGGCUAAAUACUACCGCCCUGAUAAGCAAUCUCCAAAGAACAGAACUUGCACUAGUGACGUUGUUGCAAGCAGACUGCAUGUUUAGAACAAAGACUUUCCACAACGCUGCCUUGUAACCUAUGGAGGAUUCCCACUGCCAUCUUGGGAAAAUGCUGCACUGUCCAAAUUUUCAAAAAACAGUAAAAAGGAACAAAUAGAUGAAAUUCAUUCUUAUUAGGAAACUAAAGAAAAAACAACAGGAAAAGCCUCUACAAAACAACAAACUGGUGUGUGUAAAUUACCAGCAAUUCACUGAAAGAGAGAAAGUGGAAACCAGGUUAUAAUGAAGACAAAGUAAGAAGUCACAGUAAGAGAAAAACAGACAACAGAAUCUCAAGGCCUGCAUUUUUCUCCCCUUGAGUACAAACUUAAAGCCAACAGAACCUCAAAUCAUCUCCUUCCACUUGAAAUCUGACUGUCCUCACCAACAGAGAACUUAAAAGCAGUAUUUUAAAAGCUAUGUUGUUAGAACAUUUAUUAAUCAAAAGCUCAAGGACUAAUUGAAAGAUAUGUACAUUUUUUCUAACAGAGCAAUCUCUCUUAAAAU
rnacentral:lncRNA from 1 species